rnacentral:rRNA from 1 species
UACGUAGGGGGCUAGCGUUGUCCGGAAUCAUUGGGCGUAAAGAGCGUGUAGGCGGUCCGGUAAGUCCGUUGUGAAAGUCAGGGGCUCAACCCUUGAAUGCCGGCGGAUACUGUCGGGCUAGAGUCCGGAAGGGGCGAGUGGAAUUCCUGGUGUAGCGGUGAAAUGCGCAGAUAUCAGGAGGAACACCAAUGGCGAAGGCAGCUCGCUGGGACGUGACUGACGCUGAGACGCGAAAGCGUGGGGAGCAAACAGG